rnacentral:rRNA from 1 species
UACGUAGGGAGCAAGCGUUGUCCGGAAUCAUUGGGCGUAAAGCGCGCGUAGGUGGCCCCAUAAGUCCGCUGUGAAAGCCAAAGGCUCAACCUUUGAAAGCCGGUGGAUACUGUGGGACUAGAGUACGGAAGAGGCGAGUGGAAUUCCUGGUGUAGCGGUGGAAUGCGCAGAUAUCAGGAGGAACACCAAUAGCGAAGGCAGCUCGCUGGGACGUUACUGACACUGAGGCGCGAAAGCGUGGGGAGCGAACAGG